rnacentral:tRNA from 1 species
UAGAAAUUAGUCUAAAGAAAGACCCUGAACUUUGAUCUCUGUACUGUAGACUCAACCCCUACAUUUCUAA